rnacentral:rRNA from 1 species
UUUCCGUAAAGGGUAACCUGCGGAGGGAUCAUU